rnacentral:rRNA from 1 species
GUGGGGAAUAUUGGACAAUGGGGGGAACCCUGAUCCAGCCAUGCCGCGUGUGUGAAGAAGGCCUUUUGGUUGUAAAGCACUUUAAGCGAGGAGGAGGCUACCGAGAUUAAUACUCUUGGAUAGUGGACGUUACUUGCAGAAUAAGCACCUGCUAACUCUGUGCCAGCAGCCGCGGUAAUACAGAGGGUGCAAGCGUUAAUCGGAUUUACUGGGCGUAAAGCGCGCGUAGGUGGCCAAUUAAGUCAAAUGUGAAAUCCCCGAGCUUAACUUGGGAAUUGCAUUCGAUACUGGUUGGCUAGAGUAUGGGAGAGGAUGGUAGAAUUCCAGGUGUAGCGGUGAAAUGCGUAGAGAUCUGGAGGAAUACCGAUGGCGAAGGCAGCCAUCUGGCCUAAUACUGACACUGAGGUGCGAAAGCAUGGGGAGCAAACAGGAUUAGAAACCCCUGUAGUCC